rnacentral:rRNA from 1 species
AGGACGAACGCUGGCGGCGUGCUUAACACAUGCAAGUCGAACGGAAAGGCCCUGCUUUUGUGGGGUGCUCGAGUGGCGAACGGGUGAGUAACACGUGAGUAACCUGCCCUUGACUUUGGGAUAACUUCAGGAAACUGGGGCUAAUACCGGAUAGGAGCUCCUGCUGCAUGGUGGGGGUUGGAAAGUUUCGGCGGUUGGGGAUGGACUCGCGGCUUAUCAGCUUGUUGGUGGUAGUGGCUUACCAAGGCUUUGACGGGUAGCCGGCCUGAGAGGGUGACCGGCCACAUUGGGACUGAGAUACGGCCCAG